AUUGAACGCUGGCGGCAUGCCUUACACAUGCAAGUCGAACGGCAGCACGGGAGCAAUCCUGGUGGCGAGUGGCGAACGGGUGAGUAAAGUAUCGGAACGUGCCCAGUCGUGGGGGAUAACGUAGCGAAAGUUACGCUAAUACCGCAUACGAUCUAUGGAUGAAAGCGGGGGAUCGCAAGACCUCGCGCGAUUGGAGCGGCCGAUAUCAGAUUAGGUAGUUGGUGGGGUAAAGGCUCACCAAGCCGACGAUCUGUAGCUGGUCUGAGAGGACGACCAGCCACACUGGGACUGAGACACGGCCCAGACUCCUACGGGAGGCAGCAGUGGGGAAUUUUGGACAAUGGGCGAAAGCCUGAUUCAGCCAUGCCACGUGCAGGAUGAAGGCCUUCGGGUUGUAAACUGCUUUUGUACGGAACGAAAAGGUUUGGCCUAAUAAGCUGAGCUCAUGACGGUACCGUAAGAAUAUGCACCGGCUAACUACGUGCCAGCAGCCGCGGUAA
rnacentral:rRNA from 1 species